UACGUAGGGACCAAGCGUUGUUCGGAUUUACUGGGCGUAAAGGGCGCGUAGGCGGCAAUUACAAGUCAAUCUGUGAAAUCGUCCGGGCUUAACCCGGAACGGUCAGAUGAUACUGCUUUGCUAGAGUGCGGAAGGGGCAAUCGGAAUUCUUGGUGUAGCGGUGAAAUGCGUAGAUAUCAAGAGGAACACCUGAGGUGAAGACGGGUUGCUGGGCCGACACUGACGCUGAUAGCGCGAAAGCCAGGGGAGGCAAACGGG
rnacentral:rRNA from 1 species